rnacentral:rRNA from 1 species
GAUGAACGCUGGCGGCGUGCCUAAUACAUGCAAGUCGAACGCUGGAGAUCUAGCUUGCUAGAUCGAAGGAGUGGCGAACGGGUGAGUAAUACAUAAGCAACCUACCCACGAAGACUGGGAUAAUCUCUGGAAACGGGGACUAAUACCGGAUAGGUAAUCGGAAGGCAUCUUCUGGUUAUUAAAGGUUAAAAACACUGGUGGAUGGGCUUAUGGCGCAUUAGUUAGUUGGUGAGGUAACGGCCCACCAAGACGAUGAUGCGUAGCCGGCCUGAGAGGGUGAACGGCCACAGUGGGACUGAGACACGGCCCAGAAUCCUACGGGAGGCAGCAGUAGGGAAUUUUCGGCAAUGGGGGCAACCCUGACCGAGCAACGCCGCGUGAGUGAAGACGGCCUUCGGGUUGUAAAGCUCUGUUGUAAGGGAAGAACGGUAGAUAGAGAAUAUCUAAGUGACGGUACCUUACCAGAAAGCCACGGCUAACUACGUG